rnacentral:rRNA from 1 species
GAUGAACGCUGGCGGCGUGCCUAAUACAUGCAAGCCGAGCGAACAGACGAGGAGCUUGCUCCUCUGACGUUAGCGGCGGACGGGUGAGUAACACGUGGAUAACCUACCUAUAAGACUGGGAUAACUUCGGGAAACCGGAGCUAAUACCGGAUAAUAUAUUGAACCGCAUGGUUCAAUAGUGAAAGGCGGUUUUGCUGUCACUUAUAGAUGGAUCCGCGCCGCAUUAGCUAGUUGGUAAGGUAACGGCUUACCAAGGCAACGAUGCGUAGCCGACCUGAGAGGGGGAUCGGCCACACUGGAACUGAGACACGGUCCAGACGCCGACGGGAGGCAGCAGUAGGGAAUCUUCCGCAAUGGGCGAAAGCCUGACGGAGCAACGCCGCGUGAGUGAUGAAGGUCUUCGGAUCGUAAACUCUGUUAUUAGGGAAGAACAAAUGUGUAAGUAACUAUGCACGUCUUGACGGUACCUAAUCAGAGAGCCACGGCUAACUACGUG